rnacentral:rRNA from 1 species
GAUGAACGCUGGCGGCGUGCCUAAUACAUGCAAGUCGAGCGAACGGACGAGAAGCUUGCUUCUCUGAUGUUAGCGGCGGACGGGUGAGUAACACGUGGAUAACCUACCUAUAAGACUGGGAUAACUUCGGGAAACCGGAGCUAAUACCGGAUGAUAUUUUGAACCGCAUGGUUCAAAAGUGAAAGACGGUCUUGCUGUCACUUAUAGAUGGAUCCGCGCUGCAUUAGCUAGUUGGUAAGGUAACGGCUUACCAAGGCAACGAUGCGUAGCCGACCUGAGAGGAUGAUCGGCCACACUGGAACUGAGACACGGUCCAGACUCCUACGGGAGGCAGCAGUAGGGAAUCUUCCGCAAUGGGCGAAAGCCUGACGGAGCAACGCCGCGUGAGUGAUGAAGGUCUUCGGAUCGUAAAACUCUGUUAGUAGGGAAGAACAUAUGUGUAAGUAACUGUGCACAUCUUGACGGUACCUAAUCAGAAAGCCACGGCUAACUACGUG